GUAACACGUGAGCAACCUGCCUUCGAGAGGGGAAUAACGGCUGGAAACGGUCGCUAAUACCGCAUAACGUGCGCGCGGGGCAUCCCGCGGGCACCAAAGAUUUAUCGCUCGAAGAUGGGCUCGCGUCCGAUUAGGUAGUUGGUGAGGUAACGGCCCACCAAGCCGACGAUCGGUAGCCGGACUGAGAGGUUGAACGGCCACAUUGGGACUGAGACACGGCCCAGACUCCUACGGGAGGCAGCAGUGGGGGAUAUUGCACAAUGGGGGAAACCCUGAUGCAGCGACGCCGCGUGUGGGAAGACGGUCUUCUGGAUUGUAAACCACUGUCCCCAGGGACGAAAAUGACGGUACCUGGGGAGGAAGCUCCGGCUAACUACGUGCCAGCAGCCGCGGUAAUACGUAGGGAGCAAGCGUUGUCCGGAAUUACUGGGUGUAAAGGGAGCGUAGGCGGGGAUGCAAGUUGGGUGUCAAAACUACCGGCUCAACCGAUAGUCGCACUCAAAACUGCAGCUCUUGAGUGAAGUAGAGGCAGGCGGAAUUCCUAGUGUAGCGGUGAAAUGCGUAGAUAUUAGGAGGAACACCAGUGGCGAAGGCGGCCUGCUGGGCUUUUACUGACGCUGAGGCUCGAAAGUGUGGGGAGCANCCAGGAUUAGAUACCCUGGUAGUCCACACCGUAAACGAUGAUUACUAGGUGU
rnacentral:rRNA from 1 species